UACGAAGGGGGCUAGCGUUGCUCGGAAUCACUGGGCGUAAAGGGUGCGUAGGCGGGUCUUUAAGUCAGGGGUGAAAUCCUGGAGCUCAACUCCAGAACUGCCUUUGAUACUGAAGAUCUUGAGUUCGGGAGAGGUGAGUGGAACUGCGAGUGUAGGUGAAAUUCGUAGAUAUUCGCAAGAACACCAGUGGCGAAGGCGGCUCACUGGCCCGAUACUGACGCUGAGGCACGAAAGCGUGGGGAGCAAACAGG
rnacentral:rRNA from 1 species